GAAAAUAAGUAAGAGCAGCCGCAAGACAGAGAGAAGAAAAGGACGAGAGCAGCAACAAUUCGGCUUCCCCAUGGCUAGUUUAUUUUAUUUGUUGCUCCUAAUUCAAGUAUGUCUAACUAAUUUUCUUAUACUGAGGUUAUGGAUAAAACUAUAUUCAAUGAAAUAAUUAUCUUUUUAUUUAAUUAAUUCCCUAUAUAUAUUUUUUAAUGUUUAUGGUUCUUGUUUCACAUGAUUAGUUAGAUGUUAUUAAAUCUUUUCACUAAUUUUGUCAUGCAUUAUUGAUUGUUAGGAUUAAUAUUUGAUUUAAUCUAUGCUUGGAUUUAUAAAGUCUAUAUAUGAUUAUCUUUGAUUCUGUGUCUUUUAUUAAAUUGUUUAUACAGAGUGCUUAGGAAAACAUUGACUCUUUGUUAUUCAAUAUGUUUACAUGGGAUGCUUAUAUAUCAUACUAUUAAGCAGAAAAAGAAUUUAGACAAGAUUAAUUUUAAUUUGUUUUAAUUGUUAUAUCCAUGAGAUGACAUAGAUUGAUUUCGAGUUGUCACUCUAAAAUUAGAGAUUAAUUAAUAAUUAAAUAAUUACUAGUUGAAUAGUGGUGGAUUAUGAAACCUUGGUAAUUUUUUUCUUAUUGAAUUCUCAUUUGCUUUAAUUGUUUUCUUAGUUUAAUUAGUUUUAAUUUCUCUUAAGACUCAAUUUGCUCAAAUGAGAAUAUUUGCUACUUUUGUAGUCAGUUGCUUCUACUGGUGAUUAAAUUAGUAUUGUGUACUAGGAUUGAUAGCAGGGCUUGUGGGGAGUCAUUGUAGCAGGCCUCGAUUUGUAAAGUGAUGUACAAUUUUCUAAAAUCUUGCACAAUCAUGAUUUUCCAGUUUUUUAAACGUUCAAGUUAUGCAUGACAUAACCUAGGGAAUUCAUUUUACUUCAUGUUAUCAGAUUGUCAGCUUGGAGGCUGUUUAGAUCACACUAGAAACAGACAAAUUUUAUUGAUGUCACAUUGUCCUUUUCAGAUUCAAGUUGUGCUUUAUGCAAACAUAAAGUAGAUUUUCUGAGAGCUUAGUUUAAAAGCCUUCAAAAUCCUCUUAUUUUCAAGACUGAAUUAGGAAGUGCGGCUAAUUUCCCUUUUCUUCUCACCCCUUGUUCCUCCGAGGUUCCCAUUUCUGUUUGAAGUGAUCGCGGUCUACAUUUUUGCCCUUGAACUAUUGGUGUAUUUGGUAGAUUUACUACCAUACAUGGAUAAGAAGAUUCCUCAAGUGGUGUAUUUUAAUGCCCAUUUUUCAUGAAUGUACAUCUUCUUUAUUAUCAUGGCUGCAUAUUCGUAUAGAUCACCGUUUUUCUGUGCAAUAAAUUUUGAGUCACUCAUUUCUUGCGUUGGUUGAGUUUCGGUUGCGUUUUGUAAAGAUUGGUAAACCAUUAAGAGUUGUGGAAUAUUAAAAAUAACUGUUAGUUCCUAACUAGUUUUUUUUCUCAUAUAUUGAAGGUAAUAUUUGUUCUUUGUUGAAGAUUAUUAACAUCGAUGUUUUUCCCCAUUUACUUUGUUGCUGCAGGUGUCCCGGAGAAAUUCUUCCAAUGGCAUGCACCCUAUUGCUAGAAUCAGUGGGUCGAAUUCUUAGACAUUUCCUCCCUUAUUCCAUUAAUUAAGAUCUUGUCUCUUUACAGAGAGGUAGACAGAUGAAGAGAACUUUUAACCUGUGUAUCAAAAGUAAUGAGGCUAGCAUUACUGUGAAUUUUAUUGUCUGUUGAUGCUGCGUACCAAAAUUUAGUUGCAUAAUCUGAAGAUAAUGUUUAUUCAGGAUGAAAACGAGCAAGAACAAGUCCAUGCAAUUUCCAGAAAGGCAAAAGCAAGAAAAAGUCCAUGCAACUUCCACUUAGAACACGAAAUUGGGGAAAAGCAAAGUAUUUUUUUUUGUGAGGCACUUAGAACACAAAACAUAAAACAGUUCUGAUAAACAUGCAAUCACGCAGGUCGAAUAUCU
rnacentral:lncRNA from 1 species